rnacentral:rRNA from 1 species
AUUGAACGCUGGCGGCAGGCCUAACACAUGCAAGUCGAACGAGUGGCGGACGGGUGAGUAGUGUCUGGGAAACUGCCUGAUGGAGGGGGAUAACUACUGGAGACGGUAGCUAAUACCGCAUACCAUCGGAUGUGCCCAGAUGGGAUUAGCUAGUAGGUGGGGUAAAGGCUCACCUAGGCGACGAUCCCUAGCUGGUCUGAGAGGAUGACCAGCCCACCUUGAACGGAGACACGGUCCCGACUCCUACGGGAGGCCGCAGUGGGGAAUAUUGCACAUUGGUCGCAAGCCUGAUGCAGCCAUGCCGCGUGUAUGAAGAAGGCCUUCGGGUUGUAAAGUACUUUCAGCGGGGAGGCGUUACCCGCAGAAGAAGCACCGGCUAACUCCGUGCCAGCAGCCGCGGUAAUUC